GAUGAACGCUGGCGGCGUGCCUAAUACAUGCAAGUCGAGCGAACGGACGAGAAGCUUGCUUCUCUGAUGUUAGCGGCGGACGGGUGAGUAACACGUGGAUAACCUACCUAUAAGACUGGGAUAACUUCGGGAAACCGGAGCUAAUACCGGAUGAUAUUUUGAACCGCAUGGUUCAAAAGUGAAAGACGGUCUUGCUGUCACUUAUAGAUGGAUCCGCGCUGCAUUAGCUAGUUGGUAAGGUAACGGCUUACCAAGGCAACGAUGCGUAGCCGACCUGAGAGGGUGAUCGGCCACACUGGAACUGAGACACGGUCCAGACUCCUACGGGAGGCAGCAGUAGGGAAUCUUCCGCAAAGGGCGAAAGCCUGACGGAGCAACGCCGCGUGAGUGAUGAAGGUCUUCGGAUCGUAAAACUCUGUUAUUAGGGAAGAACAUAUGUGUAAGUAACUGUGCACAUCUUGACGGUACCUAAUCAGAAAGCCACGGCUAACUACGUG
rnacentral:rRNA from 1 species